AUAAAGGGGUCAUAGAGAGCAGCUGCAGCUGGGCACUGUGAAGGGACGGAAGACACCAUUAGUGAAGGCACGGCCUCAGAUGCAUUGGAAACCCCAGGAUUGAAGGGGUCAUAGAGAGACAUAGAGGGUUGGCACCCAUGUAGCAGAAUUAGACUCCCUAAAGAGAUACCAGGGGAGGAUAUUGGUGAAGGCACAGUCCCGGUGCAGCGGAGAUGCCAGUACACUGGAGAUGCCAGUACAAUGGGACAAUUGCCAAGGACAGCAGCAGCUGUGAGACCAAGACCUGCACCUACAAGACAAGUUGAGUGUGGUGUUUACCGCAAAGCAGAAAACUGGAGAGCUUUGGGGGAGCCCAGAUGUCUGCUUAGAAUCCCAGGGUAUAAUGUUUUAGCUAAGAGCAUCCCUGAGAGGCUCAGCUACUUGGACAUGCGUUCCCCAGUUGGCGACACUGUUUGGGGAGGUUGCGAAACCUUUGAGAGCCUUUCCCCCUCAAGAAUGAAAUGUUUCAGCUGGGAGGAAAUUACUGAGCCAACGUCCUUCACCAUCAAGUAACUCUUUCCAAAAUGUCGACACAGUAUCCUGAAGCACCCCAAGGCCCGAGGAGCAGAUGUGGGCUGGGCUUGGGAGUCCGGAGCAAGGACAGCGGGAUGUGAGUUGAUUUGAGAUACUCCCUUAGAUGCACUGCAGCAUCUCUAGGAGCUUUAAUCCUCUCUUCCAGGAUGACUUCAGGAGCAUCUUCACUCUGUUUCUCCCCGUGAAUGCUGAUCAGCGAGCAAUAACUAAGCAUUUGCUCCCCACCUGUGUAAAGCUCCAGAUGCUAGCUGGUGGGGUGGGGGUGGUGCGAAAGACAAAGGUUUCCUGGAGAGCUUGUCUGAAACAUUCCUGUUUUCUCUUCUUAAAGGAGCAUCUAGCAAAAUAAGGCGUGCAUGGUCAGAUCCACUAGGGUGGGAGCGGAAGGCCCUGGUUUACAGAAAUAUCUGACUACCCUAGAGGGCUGAGUCCCAGUCGAUUAAUAAUUGCAUCUUCCUCCAGCGGGCUAGCAGCGGGGACUUAGUGAUUGUGAGCUGAGUAAAUUACCUGGCUUGCUUUUCUCUGUGGGUUUAUAAUUCACCCUGCCCUGUAAACGAAACAGCUCACAGUUCUAACAUGGAAGCCUCAUCCUGCACAUCUCCCACAGCCUCUCCUUAUAGCCUCCACUAUUUGCUCAAAUGCAGAAUAACCUUCUACGUGUCAGAUUUCAAACCUUACCAUAUUAGGUUUCCCCCCCUUUUUUUUUCCUGACUAUAAAUAGGUCUAGAGAAUUUGUAAGUCACAGGAGCAUGUGUUGAAGAGGACAGUUAUCUUAUUCUCACGCCCAAAGCUUCCAUGUUCAAAUGGCUGGGUUCCUUACAAUUCCCACUGCUGGUGUCCUUGGCACCUUCAGGUACAGGUGACCCUCUGGUGCCUCCUGUCUCACAGAUGAGAAGACAAGCUUGAGGAAGUAGCUCUCUUGUGCUUAGGGGUCAUCUCUGCUUGGAAACACUGAGCGAGCCCUUGUUGGACACACCCACCCUCUCUAAUCCAAUUCACUUGCCUGAGUUCCUGCACCACAGGCUGAGUGCUGGGGUAGCUGAGUUCUCUAGGAACCACAUUAGUGGAAGCCCAAUGGUCGCCAUGAAUGACGGUUAGCGCUCUCUCUCUCUCUCUCUCUCUCUCUCUCUCUCUCUC